UACCAGCACCCCGAGUGGUCGGGACGAUUAUUGGGCCUAAAGCAUCCGUAGCCGGUUCUACAAGUCUUCCGUUAAAUCCACCUGCUUAACAGAUGGGCUGCGGAGGAUACUAUAGAGCUAGGAGGCGGGAGAGGCAAGCGGUACUUAGUGGGUAGGGGUAAAAUCCGUUGAUCCAUUGAAGACCACCAGUGGCGAAGGCGGCUUGCCAGAACGCACUCGACGGCGAGGGAUGAAAGCUGGGGGAGCAAACCGG
rnacentral:rRNA from 1 species